UACGUAGGGUGCAAGCGUUAAUCGGAAUUACUGGGCGUAAAGCGUGCGCAGGCGGUUAUGUAAGACAGAUGUGAAAUCCCCGGGCUCAACCUGGGAACUGCAUUUGUGACUGCAUAGCUGGAGUACGGUAGAGGGGGAUGGAAUUCCGCGUGUAGCAGUGAAAUGCGUAGAUAUGCGGAGGAACACCGAUGGCGAAGGCAAUCCCCUGGACCUGUACUGACGCUCAUGCACGAAAGCGUGGGGGAGCAAACGAGG
rnacentral:rRNA from 1 species